ensembl:snRNA U6 U6 spliceosomal RNA
UAAAUAGGAAUAAUACAGAGAUGAGCAUGGCCCCUGAACAAGGAUGACAUGCAAAUUCAUAAAAAAAAAAGAAAUGUAC